rnacentral:rRNA from 1 species
AUGUGUUCUACUACAUGCAUUCGUCAGUGUGGGACGCAUGCAGUUGUGGAGGGCGUCAAUGUUAGGUUCAAAGAAAUCAAGCAAGGAGUGCUGCCAAGGUCUUCAGCGAGAUUGUUGCAUUGCCUUGUGCACACAGGCAAGAACACACGCACAUGGGAAACCAUGCCCCUGAUCUCCAUGUUAUGCCCAGCCAUGGCUCAGAGUGAGAGAGGAAAGAUUCAUGUGUUCUACUAUACAUGCAGUCGUCAGUGUGGUAUGCAUGCAGUUGUGAAGGGCGUCAAUGUUAGGUCCAAAGAAAUCAAGCAAGGAGUGCUGCCAAGGGCUUCAGCGAGAUUGUUGCAUUGCCUUGCAUGUAGGUUUCCCGUAAUUUCUCCUCUUUAA